rnacentral:rRNA from 1 species
UGAGGAACAUGACCUUCGGCGGGGGAUAGCCGGCCCAACGGCCGGGUAAUACCGCGUACGACCUUCCAGGGACAUCCCUGGA